rnacentral:rRNA from 1 species
UACGUAGGGGGCGAGCGUUGUCCGGAGUCACUGGGCGUAAAGCGCACGUAGGCGGAUUGUUAAGUCAGGGGUGAAAUCCUGGAGCUCAACUCCAGAACUGCCUUUGAUACUGGCGAUCUUGAGUCCGGGAGAGGUGAGUGGAACUGCGAGUGUAGAGGUGAAAUUCGUAGAUAUUCGCAAGAACACCAGUGGCGAAGGCGGCUCACUGGCCCGGUACUGACGCUGAGGUGCGAAAGCGUGGGGAGCAAACAGG